GACGAACGCUGGCGGCGCGCCUAACACAUGCAAGUCGAACGAGCGAGAGAGAGCUUGCUUUCUUGAGCGAGCGGCGAACGGGUGAGUAACGCGUGAGGAACCUGCCUCAAAGAGGGGGACAACAGUUGGAAACGACUGCUAAUACCGCAUAAGCCCACGGUGCCGCAUGGCACAGAGGGAAAAGGAGCAAUCCGCUUUGAGAUGGUCUCGCGUCCGAUUAGCUAGUUGGUGAGGUAACGGCCCACCAAGGCGACGAUCGGUAGCCGGACUGAGAGGUUGAACGGCCACAUUGGGACUGAGACACGGCCCAGACUCCUACGGGAGGCAGCAGUGGGGAAUAUUGCACAAUGGGGGAAACCCUGAUGCAGCGACGCCGCGUGGAGGAAGAAGGUCUUCGGAUUGUAAACUCCUGUUGUUGGGGAAGAUAAUGACGGUACCCAACAAGGAAGUGACGGCUAACUACGUG
rnacentral:rRNA from 1 species